rfam:Cucumis sativus cultivar 9930 chromosome 5, whole genome shotgun sequence.
AGAGGAAGCAUCCAAAGGGAUCGCAUUGAUCCCAACUUAUAUAUUUACAAUUUUCUUCUAGAUAAUUUUGGAUCAUGCUAUCCCUUCGGAUUCCUCCUU